ACUAUCGUUUGACAAAAUACAAAAACUACAGAGGCGUGCUUCAAUACCUAAGACGACAGAUAAUACCAAUCUUUCUACAUCUCAUUCACCGCCGGCUGAAUCGUUGAAUGAAAAACAAAAUAUUCAGAGGCUUGCUGCUAUAACUAAGACGCAAAGUAAUUCAAAUCUUCCCAUACCUCAUUCGCCAGCUGAAUCAAAUGAAGAAGUUUCUACAGUACAACCAGAAGAAAACAAAUAAUGAAAUCAGAAUCGGUGGAAGUAGAAUUGUAGAUUUUAUGUAUUUAUAUGAACAGUAACUAGAAAUAUCACAUCAUAACUCUCCAUUAGGUUGUAACUUUAAUCAUUUGAAACUAUUAGGAGAAAAAAGGAAGGGAUUUGUGUCUAAAUUUGAGUUUGUUUUCCAAAUGUGCAACCUUAAAUUGAGUUUAAAGAACUGUAAAAAAUCUGAAGAUAAAAAUGAAUUCGACCUAAACGAAAAUGUUGUAAGUGCUUUCAUGUCUAUUGGUGUUGGACACGCGGGCUUAGAACAGGUAUCUGCUUCACGUGAGAUACCUUCUAUGUCAGACCAUUUGUAUGCCAAAUGUCACGCAAGAGUCUGUGAACUAUGGGAAACGGCAAAAGAAAAAUGCAUGGAGGAAGCAGCAAAAGAAGAAUUUGAUUUAGCUGUGCCAGAUGGUAAUG